UGACUCUGCCUAGGUGAGGUCUCAAAAUGGAUGUAGAGGCAGAAAGAUGUGUGUAUCAGAAUCGACUGGGGACAUUUUUCAGACCGCUCCCUACCUCGCUCUUCCUUCCAUCCCUAGUUAAGAACAACUGUGACUGAAGAAAAUUUCAGUGCCAUCAGGUAUGGGACGUUUAGAGGGGAGACGCCCUGGGAGCUUCACAUCCAUGGAAGAGUACUGAGAUGACUUCACCUGGCUCUCUACAGCCCCAAACCUGCUCAUGGAGACAGACUGGGGAGACAAUCAGCAGGUCAUUAGCGUACCGUACAAAUCACCUUGGACUCAGGAUGGAACCCUGGGGACCUGAAGCUGCAAUAGACUGCAG
rnacentral:lncRNA from 1 species